CUGCAUUUUACCCUCCCUGAUGGGGCUCAGUGUGCAGCAGCUGGAAAAAGUAGAUGCCCUGUUUAUCUAUGCAGCUCAAUUGUUGUACGUGUUGCUUUAAGGGGCCUUGAAGACUCUU
ensembl:snoRNA SNORA70 Small nucleolar RNA SNORA70